UGUUCGACCGCGUACCAGGAUGUCACAAGGCGCUAAGUUUUAACCAUAAAUGUUAAAUGAUUUGACAAAUUAUCUCUGGGAAAGAAUCUCACUUUGGAUAACUUUUAAACGGGAAAAGAGGAUUAAAAAGAACUAAGCCGAAUUUUAAUUUUGUAUGAAAUUACAGCAGGAGGCUGCCGAGCGGCUUUUGAACGCGAUGCUGUUUGUGUAAGGUUGAGCUAGCAUGCUAAGCUAAGCGCUAGCCCAAGCUAAGUUAAUGUUGGAGUGAUAGAGAUUGGCUUCUGUGGACAUGGCAGCGGGAACAGGAGGAUCCUUGGAAGCCUCGCUGGACAAGCGGUUCAGAGGUCUGAGCAACACGAUGGACUCCAUCCAGGGACUGUCAACAUGGUGCAUAGACAACAAGAAGUACCACAGCCUCAUUGUGCGCCAGUGGAUGAAGUGUUUGAGGAAAUCUAAUCCCUCCCACAGACUGAACCUGUUGUACCUCGCCAACGAUGUCAUUCAGAAUUGCAAAAGGAAGAACGCCAUUAAUUACCGCACUGCGUUUGCCGAGGUGCUGCCAGACGCCUUCCAGCUGGUCAAACUCGAGGGUGACCCCAAGACGAUUAAAUCCGUGGAGAGGAUUGUGUCCAUCUGGGAGGAGAGGGAUGUCUACUCAGGGACGCUUGUUACUGAUCUCAGGAAUAUCCUGGUCAAAGAAGAGUCGCCUCCCGAGACGCCUGUGGAGCAAAAAACUCCGGUUGAGUCUAAAGCUGAUCUGCGAUCCAAGGUUGUUGCUGAGUUUGUGCCUCAAGCCUUUAUUGACCAGCUGACCAAGUACAAGAGAUCUCUGGAGGAAGUUGACAUCAGAGAAAAACAGCUGGCUGCCAUGAGGGUGGACAUCUUCAGCUCCGACGCUCUCAGGAAACUCAAAGAUAAAGCAGGAGGAAAGAAGUUCUCCAGAGACUUUGAGGAGGGAAGUGCUCAGCUGCACGAGUUUGUCAAGUUUUUUGAGAAACAAAACAAAACCACCCCUGCGCUUCUUGAAGCUCUUGGGAACGCAGACAUCUUCUACGAGAUGCAGUACAAAGAGGUCAAGAUUGUUGCCAAUGCCUACCAGACCUUCGCAAACCGGGUUUCCCACCUCAAACGUAAGCUGGACGCCCUGAAGUCCAACUUACCGGACCUGGACGAGUCGCCCAUACCUUCGCCUACCGCAGAUGCUCCGUCUCCGACCGGAUCCGAGUCUCCGUUCCAUGGCCUGGACUUGGCCAACCCUAAUCCAGACCUGGACGGUUCGGUUAUGGAGGACGACGCCGAGCCUCCGGCCCCGAGUCCUCUGUCUUCUCCUGGAGCAUCCCCGACUCAAGCGGAGCUCAUUGGGGAGGACGACAACCGGGAAGUGGAGGACAUGGAGCUCUCUGAGGACGAAAUGGACAGUGGUGGGAUCAUAGUUGAGGAGCAAAAACAAUCCCUCACCCAACCAGCGGUGUCUACUCCAAUCCCUGCAAAGAGUGAGCCAUCAGCAGCAACCGAGCCGCAGGUCAAAACGCCUGCAGCUUCUUCUGCAGCUGUUCCUGUGACCAUCCCAACAACUGAUUCCUCAGCCGUUCCUCCGCUCAUCCCUUCACCUGCAGAUGUUCCCACAAACAUCCUUUCAACUGUUCCUGCGUCUGCUCCUGCAGCUGUUCCUGCAGCUGCCUUGGAAAGUGUUGAUUUGGGUAAAAUUGGCUCCAUCCUCAACAGCUUGGGCCCAGUCAUAAAUACUACAACAGCUGCAGUGGAGAGUCGUCCUGCAGCUCCACCAUUAUUACUCAAACCCGCCGCUCCUUUAGUCCCUCAGGAUGCCAGUUCCCUGGUGAACAUCCUCUCCAAGGUGGAUGUGAGUCCUGCAGACCUUCUGAGUGCCCUGUCCAAAGUUCAGAGCCAAAGCAGUUUGAAGGGUGUCACUCCUCUACUGUCUCCAAAUAUGGCCCCAGACCCGUUCCCUCCAGGCAAGAUUGCUUCCUCUCACCCGUCCUCAUCUGCAUCAGCAGCACCUCCUCGGAGCACGUCUCUCUCCUUUCCACCACCUGUGCAUUCUGCACAGCAGAACUCUCAACCAGCCCCCAAAGCCUCUGCCCUGGUCCAGGCUCUGCACAGAGAUAUGGAUUUGAGUACAGAUCCAGAACCAUCUAUUUCCUCUACAAGCUUAGAGUCAAAAAUACACAACUUCCUGCAGGGGAACCCUGCGUUCAGUGUGUUCGACCAGAGUUUUCCAACAAACCCGGCUGUGCGAGGGGAGAGUUUUAGCCCGGUAACUGGCACAGACAACCAGGAGGGAACGCCAGUGAGGGAUGAGGGAGGAGGCACUCCCACUCAAGAUGAAAUCAUGGACAAGCCGGUGGCGGUCCCGUUCCCUUCUGGGAAGAAUCUGUCAUCUGUUGACAAAGCAGCCAAUGCUCUUCCUGUAGCAUUUGAGAAUAAGAACCCCAACAACCCCCGACAUGUAGCUCACCCGCUGCCAGGCUUGGCUCAAAAUGGGCAGAUCUUCCAGCCCUUCCCCAUUGGCAAUCAGGAGAUGUUGGAGAGUGGGAUUCCUGCGCCAGCUGCACAUUACCAACAUGUUCCCAUGCAUCCAGGAGGCCCUGGAGCUGCAGGUGGCGCUGGGGGCUCACAGACAAUUGAGGGCUUUCAGAGGACAAACGAACAGAGUUGGUUUGGUGAUCCCCACCCCGAGGGGAGCUCUCGCCAGCCUGGCGGCUACAACAUGUUAGCGCCGGGACUUAGAAACAACACAACAGGACUGUACCCAUACCAACAAGAGCAAACUCCGGAGCAGCUUCCGCCUGUCGCCCCCGCUUUCUUUAGAGCUACUCUUCCUCCAGUCCCAAAAGUGCCGCCCCCACCACCACUUACUUUCGAACCCCUGCUGACGCCCCCAGUGGGUGGUCUGAUGAACCCCCCUCAGCAGGAGCCUCCACCCAACAUCGGGAGCAGAGGCGACAGCUUCAGCAACAUGGUGGUUCAUGACCAUCAGCAUACGUCGCUGCAUUACCCGGAUGACCUGUUCCAUGACCCACAUCACCAGCAGCAACCUCACCAGGAGGAUAUGCGUUACCAUGAUGAUGAGCAUUUCCUCCAUGACGAUCCCUACUAUCCACCUGAUGAUGCGUAUUUCAGACCGGGGAGUCCUCCUCGCCCUCCUCCUCCUCACCCAUACCCACGAGGCCGUGGGCACCUCUCUCCUCCGCUCUCCCCUCCAAAGGACCCUUACUUUGCCCAUGAGCAGCACAAUCCCCCUCCUCCACGUCAGUUUGCGCCGAGGCGACCUCCUCCUCCUCGCCACGAAAUGCGCCACCCUAUCCAGCGGCCCCCUCCGCCUCGGCCCCCACACCUAUCCCGGCAUCCACCCCCCAGAGGCCCGCCUCUCGCGCCUUUCCCUCGUUUCAACGGCCCCGACCCGAGGUUCAGAGGCAAGCGGCCCGGCCCGAGAGGAGGGGGUCCGAUGUUCCCUCCGAAAAGACCCUUCCCACCCCCACGGUACUGACAGCUCCGACUUGAAUCAGUAGCUAGUCAAGAGAGUUGAAGUCCAAACUCUGUUAAAGCUGUGCAGAUCCCAGUGGGCAUCAACAGACAGUUCAGAAACCGAGAUGGAAAAAAAUGGCGUCGAAGAAGGAAAAACGGACAAGAUCCCGGGGCGCUCCGAGAAGGCUGCUGAGCUGUGAAGACAGAAGAUUAAAGAAAAUCAGAGGGAUCCAGAGCCACUUUGAUGUGUCUGAUGUGAUGGAAAAGAAGAAGAUGGGGGAAGAAAAAAAAAAACAAACUCUGCUGUGCCACAUGUUAGCUGA